AGACCAGCCAAUUAAUCUGCUUAUCUGAAUGUGUUUCCGCAGAAAUGUAGAAACAGCUGGCAAUAGUGACGCCACUACAUGAGCCUUAAGGACCACUGAGGUCACUGCGGUCCCUCAAAAUGACUACCGUA
ensembl:snoRNA